GUCCAUCUAGGUCCCAGGUCCAUCUAGGUCCCAGGUCCCAGGUCCAUCUAGCUAGGUCCCAGGUCCCAGGUCCGUCUAGGUCCCAGGUCCCAGGUCCGUCGAGGUCCCAGGUCUGUCCAGGUCCCAGGUCCGUCUGUCCCAGGUCCGUCCAGGUCCCAGGUCCGUCUGUCCCAGGUCUGUGCCUCCAUCCAUCAUCAGGUUUAAGUCACAUCAGUUGCUGUAGCAGGAUGAGCCGCAGACAAAAUCUCUCAAGACACCGAGUUGUAGAAGGAAGGGCUUUAUUCAGCUGGGAGCAUCAGCAAACUACUGCCUUAAAAUCUGAGCUCCCCGAGUGCACGAUUUCUGUCCCUUUUAAGGGCUCACAACACUAAACAUUUCACAUGAAAGGGUCGUGAUUGAUUUGAGCAAGCAGGCGGUACGUGACAGGCUGCAUGCACUGGCAGUCAGAGAGAAACAACACGGCAGGGAGUUUCACAAAUGUUCUUCUAUACAAUGUCUGGAAUCUAUGAAUAACAUCUGUUUCUAAGUUAUGAGUUGAUUUUUCACUACUGAGUUUAGGCCAGGCAGGCGCAGGCCUGGUUUCGGGCCUAGCGCCGGGCUGCCUGUCCUUGGUUUUACCUCCUUGUUGUUUUUUCUUAAAAUAGGUACUGAGUAUAAAACAAUAUGAGACGGUCUCUCUCUUCCCUCAUUCCCCCCUUUGAGACUCUCACUUUUUAUUAGUGGGAGUUCUCACUCAUUUUUGCUACUUAUGUCUUUUUGUGCAAUAGAUUGAUAGUGAUUUAUAUAGUAUGCUUGUGCUGAAGCAUUUUGGUGAACUAAGGUAGUGAUGAAGUUUUUUAUCAUUUGGAGAAAUACAGGUAUCAGACAAGGGAGCAGUAAGCAGGUUCCUAUUACUAUUGUUACUCUUGUUAUAAGAGUUUUAAAUCCUCCUAUUGCUGGGAACUAAUUUCUAAACAUGGCUCCUGGAUUGAGUCCAUGCCACACGUGCACGGGUACGUGUGCCAGUUUUGUUAUAUCUUUAACUAUAUUCUCAGCUACUUGCCCCUGAUCAUCUAUGUGUAGACAACGAUUAGUAAGGCUAAAUUUUUCACAAACUCCUCCUUCAGCUGCUAGCAAGUAGUCAAGAGCUGGUCUAUUUUGAGAGCUAGCAUUUCUCAUCAAAGUCUCUUGCCGGGCAAGAACAGUCAAGGCUUGACCAGGUUUAUAGUAAUAAUUUCUAAAACAGCUUGUAACCGUAUGAUUCGGUUGAGCACGUAGAUGGGGGUUCGAUAUCCCCAUGAGCCAUCUUCUGCCCAAGUGGCGGGUCCGUAGUAUUGUAUGAUUUUUUCAGGGGGCCAUUCAUCAUCUUUCCAAUCACUUAUGGCUAUGCUUCGUUUUUCGCGGGAAGCAUAGACUGGGAAGCCCAGACGUUCACCUGUUUUUAUGGGCAGUAAGAAGAAAGAUGGCUUCAUGGUGCCAAUUACACAGCUACCUGUCCAUUGAUCAGGCAGCUUAGCAUAAGCUCUGGGUCCACAUAUCCAGUAUAACCCGGUGGGGGCCGUCCAGUCCCGGUGGAGUUCUGGGUAGGCCCAAACAGUCUGCAACUUUGGAAAUUUACUGAAUGGAUUUCUUUCUGUGUAAUUGGAACUCCACCAUGUAACUGUUUUUGUGGUACCGUUAUACAGCUUUUGCCCAAGACAACCAAGCCGCCCUACAGGAUGAGUGAAUCCUUUUCCUUCUCAAGCUAUGCAAUACUGUCCAAUAAUUGAGACUUUUAGAACUCAAAAAUUGUCAGGGUGGUUCUUUUGGGCUGGGAAUUCAUCAGGAACUGGGUCUGUAGGAACUAAUUCUCGGGCUUCCCAUGGCCGCUGAUCUCCUGUUACGGUUCCUCCGCAAACACAGCUAGAGGUGACUUGUAGAGACUGGGCUCCAUGUUCGGCUAAUUGCAAAAACAAAGUUUUAGUUUUUGCUGGAAUCUCAGGUACUGACACAUUUAGUUCAUCAUAGAAAGUCUGCAAUAUGGUUGUGGAGAGCGUUAUUGAACCUCUCCUUCUAUUAGGAUGCUUACGCUAGGAUCUAAGCCUUUUCUGUCAAUGCCUAAUGUUAACACUUUUUUUUAUUCCACUUUGGGUCUGAAGGGUUUGUGAUUAUCAAUUCUAAAAGGUUGUAGCUCCCACUCGUGCAGGAGGGGCUGACUUUUCCUUUUUGGAGCCAAACAGGAUCUUUUUUAUCUUCUUUCCAAGUAGCCCAAAUGACACAAGACCAGUAUUGACACAUCUCACAUAAAUGUGAUUCUUGACAGAUAUACUUAUUUUUUUUUUACUGUGUAACUUUUUUUCCAAUUUAGAGAACUGCAUCCUAUUCCAUGCUGCUAACUAUUAAUAGCGGCACCAGCCUCAAAUUUUAAGGUUACAUUUUUGGGGACCCCUCUUUCUUCUGUUCUAGCUAUUAACUUACUUGUGUCACCUAGAAAAGGACCAGUCCUGUGAUCAUGGGAGGCUUAAAAUGGGUCAUAACACGCAUCAGUUUGGUUAUUUCCUGGGCUGCAUACCUUGGAUAGAAUAGCAUCAUACAAACAAGUUUCUUUUAGAAUCCUGGUACACUUACAAUAACCAUAAAAUAAUAGGACUGUAGCAAUCUUUUGUCUUACCUCAGUGACUUGAUGUAUAUACUGGAAACAGUUCUCAGUCUGAGGAAGGUCAGUUGAAGUCCUUACUGUACAAGUCCAAAUUUUAAGGAAAAUGAGUCCCGCGAUGAGUUUCCUCAUGCUUCGGCUGUACGUGGACCAGUCAGCUUCCGGGUGUGACUGGAGCAGGGCUUGUCGUCUUCUUCAGAGUCACUUUGCAGGGGUUGGCGAAGCUGCUCCCGUCCACGUACAGCUCGAGUCUACUGAUGUUUAAAGAUGGUCUCGGUGGUUGGGCCCCCUAGAAUAAACUGAGUCCAACACUUCUACACAGUUAAGUUUCACUGAGCUCUCUGAUACUGGGAGCAAGGUGGCAGGGUUUAGGGUUUUGCAAACUUCAGUGGUUAUGUGGGGAUUUUCACAGAGCAAGCUUUGGUAUCUAGUUAGUCUAGAAUUCAUUAGCUAAUGAUGUCCUUUGGUAUUUAUUAAAGUCACCACAGCAUGGGGGGACUUUAGGUUUUGCCUAAGAGUUAGCUUAUCUGCUUCUUGUGCUAACAGGGCCGUUGCUGCCAGGGCCCUUGGACAGGGGGGCAGCCUUUGGAAACCCCGUCUAGUUGUUUUGAGAGAUAGGCCACUGGCCUUGGCCAGGGCUCUACGGUCUGGGUUAAAACUCCAACUGCUAUUUUUUCUCUUUCUGACACAUAGAGUGUAAAGAGUUUUGUCAGGUCAGGUAGCCUCGGGGCUGGGGCUGACAUGAGUUUUUCUUUUUGACUCAUGAAAAGCUCGUUGCUGUUGGUUGGAAUGGAUGUAGUUUAUCUAAUCUACAUUUUUAUUGACUGUCAUCUACCAAAAUAUUGACUUAAAUCCUGUAACUAUUUGAUUUCAAGCUUUAAAUUGAUCUGGUGUCCCUUGUGGGGCUCCAAUUGCGUCUAAAUAGAUGUGAGAGUUGAAAGACCCAUAAGGGGCUUCUCUCGCUUUACGAUGUCUUUUUUUUUUUUUCUCCUCUGGUUGAUGAAAUGCCAGGGUGAAAGGGAUAGCCAAACGGACUAAAGCACAAGUGCCACUCUAGUUAUUCGGCAGAGUGCCCAGUACAGGUCCACCACAAUACCACCACACAUCCGCUCACAUCCGCUCAGGGAUGAACAAGGGCUGACUGAUUGAUAAGCUCUCGAAAAUUCUUAAGCUCACUGCAUCCCUUCCAGUCUCCAAGGACUGCUAAGUCUCCUCCCUGCCGUGAGAGACACGAAGGGAACUUAGUUUUGGGAGACGGAAGCUGGAUGGCCCUCGGGGGCUGACCCGCAGGGACUGCAGAAUGUAGCGGGGAGAGCUUGGCAUGACUUGCUGCUCCAGGCUGUAGAAUCCUGGAAAAGAGCUACCGUGCAGCCCACGCCUGGUCGACUGAAGGACCACCUUAGUGGAAGGGGGACAAUCAGAGCCUUUGGCCUGCCAUGUGCACGAGCAUCACAAUUGCUUUUGUUUAACAUCAGAUGGAAUAUCUGAUCCAUUUCAACCAGGCAUUUUGCAUCUUGGUAUGCUGUCUUAAUUGCCAAAGUUUGUUUUAAGUCUUAAACUUCCAUGAUCCUCUAGUAAAAUGAAUGUUUCCUUUAGCACCUAUUUUUAUUAGUUUUUAGACCAAAGAAAGCUAAACACCAUUUUAUAUUUAAUAAUGCUUCUUGUAUGAUUUUUAUACCAGAUAAGCUAAAUUUUACCUUUAUAUUAGUGUGUUAUUAAUGUUAAACUUAAUUUUAAUAAAACCUUGUAGACAUAUUUAUCCAAUUUUUCAUGUUUGACCAUAAGGUAAGAUUUUAUAGACUCUUUUUAACCUUUUAUAACUUUUGUUAAAGAGCAGGUUGAUGCUUUAAGAAAAACCUGUUGCAUUUUUACUUUAAUGUCCAGUUCACAGAAAAACUGGACGAUACCUUUUUAACUUUAGUUAACAUGUUUACACACAGAAUUUUCUUUACAAUUUACAUUUUAAAACUUGCUUAAACUCUUAAAAACAAUAAUUUUUUUAACCUUUUAAUGUAGGUAAAAAUCCAUAUUUUUAUGCCCCUUUAUAAUUUUUUUUACCAAAGGUAUAUUUUACUUUUCUUGUACACCUUGCACAUAAACUUUUUUUUUUAAUAGUACUCAGGGGCCAGGCGCGGUGGCUCACGCCUGUAAUCCCAGCACUUUGGGGGGCCGAG
rnacentral:lncRNA from 1 species